GCCCCCGUAGCUCAGCGGAUAGAGCAGCCGCCUUCUAAGCGGUUGGUCGCAGGUUCGAUCCCUGCCGGGGGCGCCA
rnacentral:tRNA from 3 species